GGGGGUGGGUGGGCAAAUCCUCGAGCUUGAUGUGUAGGGAAGGGAGGGGGCCUGAAUAAUCCCUGAGGAGUAGGAAGAAGGAAAUAUGGGGAAAUGGGGUGAAUGUCAGGUGGAUCAGAGCGAUACAGUCAUGGGGGUCAGGUGUGGUAUCCAGAAUAAUGUGGGAGGCCGGAUUGAAGUCGGGCCAGGAACAAUGGUAAUUGUGGGAGACUCAACAAAGAGUGAGUACAGCUGAAGGAGGCGGGGAGCAGAAAGUAUAUGCAUCAG
rnacentral:lncRNA from 1 species